AGUGAACGCUGGCGGUAGGCCUAACACAUGCAAGUCGAACGGCAGCACAGUAAGAGCUUGCUCUUACGGGUGGCGAGUGGCGGACGGGUGAGGAAUACAUCGGAAUCUACUUUUUCGUGGGGGAUAACGUAGGGAAACUUACGCUAAUACCGCAUACGACCUACGGGUGAAAGCAGGGGAUCUUCGGACCUUGCGCGAUUGAAUGAGCCGAUGUCGGAUUAGCUAGUUGGCGGGGUAAAGGCCCACCAAGGCGACGAUCCGUAGCCGGUCUGAGAGGAUGAGCGGCCACACGGGAACUGAGACACGGUCCAGACUCCUACGGGAGGCAGCAGUAGGGAAGAGUGAGCAAAGGGCGAAAGCCUUACGGAGCAACGCCGCGUGAGUGAAGAAGGUCUUCGGAUCGUAAAACGCUGUGAUUAGGGAAGAACAAAAGUCUACGAAACCAUCCACGUCUUGACGGUACCUAAUCAGAAAGCCCAGGCUAACUUCGUG
rnacentral:rRNA from 1 species